rnacentral:rRNA from 1 species
GUCUUUUUGAGUUAUAUUAAAAGUCUAACCUGCCCACUGAAUAAUUUUAAAUGGCCGCAGUAUUCUAACUGUGCAAAGGUAGCAUAAUCAUUAGUCUUUUAAUUGAAGGCUGGUAUGAAUGGUUGGACGAAGUAUAAGCUGUUUCAUAUAAAAUUAAAUUAGAAUUUUAUUUUUUAGUAAAAAAGCUAAAAUUUUGUUAAAAGACGAGAAGACCCUAUAAAUCUUUAUAUUAUAAAUUAUUUUAAUUUUUUUGAUUUAUUUUAUUUUUAUUAUUUAUAAUAUUUUGUUGGGGUGAUAUUAAAAUAUAAUAAACUUUUAAUUUUAUAAAGUCAUAAAUUAAUGAAUUAUUGAUCCGUUAUUAGUGAUUAUAAGAAUAAGUUACUUUAGGGAUAACAGCGUAAUUUUUUUUGAGAGUUCAUAUCGAUAAAAAAGUUUGCGACCUCGAUGUUGGAUUAAGAUAUAUUUUUAGGUGUAGCCGCUUAAUAUUUAAGUCUGUUCGACUUUUAAAUUCUU